UUUUCCUGGUGCACCUCUCUUUUGUCUCUGCCCCUUCCUCCUGUCAAGAGCAAAAUGUCUUUCUCUGUGCUUAGUAGAGGUGCUGUGCAACACUGAAGAGCGGCAUCCUGAGCAAGUCCCUAGGGAACCAAGAGCUGUUUUUGGCAAGACUGUUGUUGCCCCGUUGGAAAUCACCAGGCUGCAUUCGAGCUGCUGAUACAGGCGUGCACUUGUGCCUUGGGCACACAGAUCUCAUCUGCCUGGUGAGACAGGAGGCAAAUUGAAAUCCAUAAAGCAGGAUUUAAACCGUUGAGGCAUUCCUAUUAAUUAGUCUCCUGAACGUAGAAAAGGCAGAGAGAACUUGCCCCGCUGAAGGCCUGGGAGGCUCCUGGAGCAGGGGGCUGUCAGUCACAGCGCAGCCGUGACUCAGCAGGGCUGCACAUCCCGGCACUGCAAAGCCAAGGCUUGCAGCCCUCACGCUGCACAAGGCCUGGGA